CCUGAGGGGGAGCCAGUCCACAAAGUAUAUUCUGUUGCCAUUGGAAAAGCUGUGUACUGAGACCUCCAAUGAAUAUGCAAAUGAAAAUCUAUUGAAUGUGAGGGAGACCCACGUGCAGCUGUGCACUGGGGUUCACUGGACCAAACUGUGGUAAGACAGUCUGUGAGGACUUUUGUCAAAAUGGAGGGACCUGCAGUGUUACUGCUGGAAACCAGCCUUAUUGCCACUGCCAGCCUGAACACACGGGAGACAGAUGUCAAUACUAUGUGUGUCAUCACUACUGUGUGAAUUCUGAAUCCUGUACCAUUGGAGAUGAUGGAAGUGUGGAAUGUGUCUGUCCAAUACGCUAUGAAGGAUCAAAAUGUGAAAUUGACAAAUGUAUAAGGUGCCAUGGGGGACAUUGCAUUAUAAAUAAAGACAGUGAAGAUAUAUCUUGCAAGUAAGUAGACAGCUAACUUAAUUUAUAAAAGCAUUUGAAC
rnacentral:lncRNA from 1 species